rnacentral:rRNA from 1 species
AGUGGCGGACGGGUGAGUAACACGUGAGCAAUCUGCCUUUCAGAGGGGGAUACCGAUUGGAAACGAUCGUUAAUACCGCAUAACAUAAUUGAACCGCAUGAUUUGAUUAUCAAAGAUUUAUCGCUGAAAGAUGAGCUCGCGUCUGAUUAGCUAGUUGGUAAGGUAACGGCUUACCAAGGCGACGAUCAGUAGCCGGACUGAGAGGUUGAUCGGCCACAUUGGGACUGAGACACGGCCCAGACUCCUACGGGAGGCAGCAGUGGGGAAUAUUGCACAAUGGAGGAAACUCUGAUGCAGCGAUGCCGCGUGAGGGAAGAAGGUUUUAGGAUUGUAAACCUCUGUCUUCAGGGACGAAAAAUGACGGUACCUGAGGAGGAAGCUCCGGCUAACUACGUGCCAGCAGCCGCGGUAAUACGUAGGGAGCGAGCGUUGUCCGGAAUUACUGGGUGUAAAGGGAGCGCAGGCGGGAGAACAAGUUGGAAGUGAAAUCCAUGGGCUCAACCCAUGAACUGCUUUCAAAACUGUUUUUCUUGAGUAGUGCAGAGGUAGGCGGAAUUCCCGGUGUAGCGGUGGAAUGCGUAGAUAUCGGGAGGAACACCAGUGGCGAAGGC